rnacentral:misc_RNA from 1 species
GAUGAAGAACGCAGUGAAAUGCGAUAAGUAAUGUGAAUUGCAGAAUUCAGUGAAUCAUCGAAUCUUUGAACGCACAUUGCGCCCCCUGGUAUUCCGGGGGGCAUGCCUGUCCGAGCGUCAUUACAACCCUCAAGCUCAGCUUGGUGUUGGGCCCCGCCGCCCCGGCGGGCCCUAAAGUCAGUGGCGGUGCCGUCCGGCUCCGAGCGUAGUAAUUCUUCUCGCUCUGGAGGUCCGGUCGUGUGCUCGCCAGCAACCCCCAAUUUUUUUCAGGUUGACCUCGGAUCAGGAAGGGAUACCCGCUGAACUUAAGCAUAUCAAUAAGCGGAGGA